CAGUAGCCACGGUAAUACCGAGGAUGCAAGCGUUAUCCGGAAUGAUUGGGCGUAAAGCGUGCGCAGGCGGUUCGUUAAGACAGAUGUGAAAUCCCCGGGCUUAACCUGGGAACUGCAUUUGUGACUGGCGAGCUAGAGUAUGGCAGAGGGGGGUAGAAUUCCACGUGUAGCAGUGAAAUGCGUAGAGAUGUGGAGGAAUACCGAUGGCGAAGGCAGCCCCCUGGGCCAAUACUGACGCUCAUGCACGAAAGCGUGGGGAGCAAACAGGAUUAGAUACCCCGGUAGUCCCUGUCUCUUAUAC
rnacentral:rRNA from 1 species